UACGUAGGGGGCUAGCGUUGUCCGGAAUCAUUGGGCGUAAAGCGCGUGUAGGCGGUCCGGUAAGUCCGCUGUGAAAGUCGGGGGCUCAACCCUCGAAUGCCGGUGGAUACUGUCGGGCUAGAGUGCGGAAGAGGCGAGUGGAAUUCCCGGUGUAGCGGUGAAAUGCGCAGAUAUCGGGAGGAACACCAAUGGCGAAGGCAGCUCGCUGGGACGUGACUGACGCUGAGACGCGAAAGCGUGGGGAGCAAACAGG
rnacentral:rRNA from 1 species